rnacentral:lncRNA from 13 species
CCCUCCAGGGCCCCAGGGGAGUGGUGGCUCCUCUGCUCUGGAAGGCAGGAACUUGGAUGCAGAGUAGGGGUGCUGUAAAGAAGAGGAGAGAAUAGAAAGAGCUAUUGAUCACGUUGAGUUGGUUGCCCCAACCAUGGAGUGCUGAAUAUGAAAGGUUCUGAGAAUGAACAGACAACUGGGGCAAUGGAUGGAGAAGGACAUGGAAGCAAAGAACAUUACAGAGGCUCUUAAAUGACCCCAAUCUUCACUUUUGCUUUUGUUCUUCAGUCUUUAGCUGAGUGCAUGGCUAUUCCAGG